rnacentral:lncRNA from 1 species
UCUCUCAAGUGUUGCCCACGAAUAGCUUGUUGCCCACGAAUCCCAUUUUUGUGGAUGACAACGAGACUCCAGGGCCGUGAGAAGAACCUGCUGCCACGAGGGGAUCCCGGGAUUGUGAGAACUUCCUCUCCACGGAGCAAUGAAGAGGCAGAGAUUCCCAAAUGUUUGGUUGCGUGACAAUUGCAACAUCAGGGAUACCUCGAGAGGCAACGAUCGCUCCCUGACUGUAAGGUGAGAAACUCCACUAUGAGACAUUUGUAUGGGAAGCAGGCAUAGAAAGAAUUCUAAUGUUUUCAUUGUGUUUUAAAAUACGUGUGUGAAGGUCACAGCAAAGCUUUUGUUCCAU